UACGUAGGGUGCAGGCGUUAAUCGGAAUUACUGGGCGUAAAGCGUGCGCAGGCGGUCUGCUAAGAGAGAUGUGAAAUCCCCGGGCUUAACCUGGGAACUGCGUUUCUAACUGGCAGGCUUGAGUGUGGCAGAGGGGGGUGGAAUUCCGACGUGUAGCAGUGAAAUGCGUAGAUAUGUGGAGGAAUACCGAUGGCGAAGGCAGCCCCCUGGGAC
rnacentral:rRNA from 1 species